rnacentral:rRNA from 1 species
UACGGAGGGUGCGAGCGUUAUCCGGAAUCACUGGGUUUAAAGGGUGCGUAGGCGGCUCGGUAAGUCAGUUGUGAAAGCCCCUUGCUUAACGAGGGAGGUGCGAUUGAUACUGUCGAGCUUGAAUCGGGAUGAGGCAGGCGGAAUGUGGCAUGUAGCGGUGAAAUGCAUAGAUAUGCCAUAGAACACCGAUUGCGAAGGCAGCCUGCUGGGCCUGUAUUGACGCUGAGGUACGAAAGCUAGGGGAGCGAAUGGG